AUUCUGGAUGUAGAAAAUGUUCUUUCAUUUUCGUGGAAUUGUUAAGAAAGCAUGCAAAGGCUUCUUCAAUUUGGGCACAUUAGGUUUAUAGCUGCGAUUUUGUUAUAACAUUAAAACAAGCCUCAGGAUGGAUGCGUCAUCUACAGACACUUCUUAUAUGGAAAUCUCAUCAAUCCUAGGAAUUCAUUAACUUCUCAGAACUGGUCAUCCUGACCGUGUAACUGGAUGCAGCCAUGUGAAUAGUUUUGGCCAGUGAGCUGUGAGGAGGAGAUGAGGCAUGAAAAUUUCUGGCUGACACAAAAUUCUCCAAAGCUCUUUACCUAUGUCACUGGGACCAGCAAUUUUCCAGAGAAAUGGGCCCUGCAAUUUGGAUCCAGAGUAAGAACAAUUCAGAACAAAGAACCACCUUGAUUCACAAUAGACAGGUAAUAUGAAUGAGAAAUUUUCUUAUAGUAUUUUAAGCCUCUUAGAUUUGGGAAACAAUCUGGCACAGCAGCAUAACAUUUUUCCUGACUGAUAUAAAAAUAGUUGAUUCUUGUGGGGAAGUAAGAUUGAAGUAGAAUAUCCUUUCUGAAAAGAACUUUUUCUCACCAUAUAUUUAAGGUUGAACAAGGAAUUUACAGAUUAUGACUCUUUGUAGAUUAUAUAAAUCUUGUUUCAGAUAAUAACACGAUAGAGUUAAAAUUAGCUGUUUUCAUUCCUAGGUGAGUGUGGGAUGGAGAUGGUUAUAUAAUUUUGUGAACAAAGUUGUUUAUAAAAUUGACCUUAUAAAGCUGCUUACAGCUGACAAUAGCUCUUAUAUUUCAUGUUUAUAUUGUAAGUCAGUAUAUCACUAGGUGAAAUACUGUUUAUUUGCAUCUGAAAUUUCUUUUAAAGAUGCUUCCUAUAUCAAGGUAUAGUACGAUCAACAUGGACACUUACCUGAGCAUCCACACUGAGUGAAUAUGAUCUGGGCUGUUUGCGGAAUUCUUUCACAGUAGCUCUAUCCAGGAGAUGUUCAUCCACAGAGAGACAAAAUAAAAGGGUGUCUCAAGGUUAGAACAUUCAUCCUCCUUAGCUAGAGUACAGAUAAAGUAGAUUUCUCUCCUAUAUGAGUGCUCUCUGAAAGCAUUACUAUUGCUUCAUCUCUAUUCAUGAGAACUUUAAAAGACAAAUUCUAGAAAGAAGUUGUCUUUCUUUACAUUGGCUUCUUUAAGGCUCAAAGACUUGGAAUUCAGGACAGAAUGAAAAGCAUUUCAAAUACCGUAUCUACUGGCAUUGGAGGAAAAAAAGGUUUUAUUCCCCCAUGAAUUGUCAUAGAAGGAAAUGAAACUUGCUAAAAACAUAUCUGCUAUAAAACUAUAACAGAAAAGAAAAAAGAAUACUAUUUUUCUGAACUUUAUCAUUGUAAUCUUUCUAUGAAUUCUAUUAAACUGAGAUCCCUGCAGAAAUGACAUAAUUGGCCAAUAUAUUUGUGGUGUAGGUUGCAUAAAUUUAUAGAAAUUAUUAUGGUCAGUGCUGUGAAAUGAUUUAGUUGUUGCCUUUCACUUACUUUCUUCUUUCAAUGUAACUAAGCACACAACAAACUCUUUAAAACCUGUGCAACAAGGGGAAAUGAGUAUAAUAUGACUGGGAAUUUUGAAAUAAAAAUUUGUAAGAGAUCAGCACUGGUUUAUCCAAACAUUUAUCCUAUUAGUGCUUUCUGGUGUAACAAUUAGAGGUAUUAAAAGUUCUAAUAUUACUUGAUAGACAUUUGCAUGUUUGGAAUAGUAAAUAUGGUAAAAUGUUGCAAGUUACUGCCUCAUAUUCAUUAGUAUUAAAUAUUUGUGAGGGGUAAUUAUCUUGAAUUUCUAAUAGAGAACAAUAAGUACAAGUAUUUUUAUUCUAACACACAUUUUACAGCAUUGGGCACUUAUGGUUUCAUAGUUUCAGUAGGUUAAAAUAAUACUAAUUUAAAACAAAAUAGGUAGAAGUAUUAAAUACAUCUAUAUAUACUGAACUAAAGGAAGAUCUAUAAUCUUAGGAAAAAUUUAAAAUAAAAGUUCAAAUUAAUGGACAUAGUAUGAUCUGAUUCUCAUAAAAGUAAUGUAAUCUAUAUAUAUCACGUAUCAUACAUUAUAUGUAUAUGUUAUAUAUUAUAUACAAAUCUGUAUAGCUAUAGAUGAUACAUGUUCGUACAUAUAGGGACCAAAGUAGUGGUUA